rnacentral:lncRNA from 1 species
AAACAUGUGUACAAAGGAGUAGGCACUCUUGAAAAUGUUUCUGUAGAAAAAUGCAUAGGAUCGCACUGUUAAUCCAUUAUAUAAUAGUGACACAGAAACGUCCUUUGCAGGUGUCCAAAACACACGAUCACAUUCAGCAAAAGAAAGCAUAAAAUAUAAGGCUGUCAGUGACUAUUAGCUAUCCCGUUUGCUGGCCAAGUCCAAAGAUGGGUCCUGCUUGCAGCAGUAAAGUCAUGCCCAACCUUUAUAACUGCAGUCUGGGGGUAUGUCAACCAUUGGGUCAUUGUUUUAGCUUGCUUAGCCAUGUAUCACACCUACUGUGCAUUUGAGGUUUACCUGUGUAUCAUACUGAGCUGAGCAUUAAACCCCAUGGGGGGGGUUGGGGGGGGAGCUUUAUCCAAGUUUGAGUUCUUCAUUCCGUGGGUAGGAGGGCAUGGCGUCAUGACCUCCAGUCCGAGGUCACAGAUGUCCAGAUCCAUCCACUCUUCAGCAUCACUGACAAUGUGGAGAUUGCUUGGGCUGUCCUGCUCAUACCAGCUUUUCUUCAGAAGAGACCCUAGGUUCCACAUCUGGGCAGGAUUGAGCCCCAGCAUAAGGCAAUGAUUAAGGAGCUCAGUGGUGUAUUACUGGCACAUUACAAAUGGGCUCAUUAACUUAAUUACUAUCAGAUACACUACAUUUCAAGCAGUAGUUUCAGAACACUCAGGCUAUAUGCACUAAAAUGUAGGAAGUUGCCUUACACAGUAUAAGGUGGCAGUGCACAGGUAGGGCAUCACCGUCAAGAGCACACAGCCACACCCUCAAGCCUGCAAACUGCUCAGACAAGCAACUAACCUUAAUCCAAAAGACACAAGGUCAUAGGCACACUGUCACCUUAUACCAGGCAUGUCCAAAGUCCAUUUUGGGGGCCUAAUCCGGCCCGCCGGUCGGUUCAAUCCGGCCCCCAUAGGCAGUUCCUCCCUGUGGUUCUAAAAAAAGGUCAAUGAUCGGCCCUCAUGCAUGUUCACUUCAUCAAAUCUGGCCCUCUUUGAAAAAAGUUUGGAGACACCCUGCCUUAUACUGAAUCAGCUACACUAACUAGCAGAAGCUUCUCCAAGGUUUCAGGAAAGGGACAUUCCUAGCUGUGCCUGAAGAUGCCAGGGAUUGAACCGAGGACAUUCUGCAUGCAAAGCAAUUCCUCUACCACUGGGCUACAACCCUCCCCCAAGUAGUAUCAAUUUGCCUGGAUUCAUGCCAAAACAUCGAAGGCUAGUAUUUGACCCCAGUAUAUAGUGUUUUCGUUGAAGAGUAGAAUCAAUGCAAAAUUAUACAACGUAAUAGUGACACCUCCCAUCCUUUUCUCACAGCUUCAAGAAAGAAAAAGAUUGCCACACAAUAUCCAAGAGACUAUCGCCAGUCUGUAAUCACUUCCACAUUAACUGAGAAGCUGGAAGAUUGAUGAGGUACUUUAAGGUCAAUUGGUUUCCUUCUUUCUUCCCUUCUUUCUUUUUUUCUUUCUUUUUAAUUGCAGUUACUUUAAUCAGCCUGGUUUGUUUUAAAUAAGAGGCUGUAAGAGAGAUGUGAAUCACAGAAUAUCUCAGUCAAUUUGCUCACUUUUGAAGGCUGACUUUGGGGGGAGAUAAUCCACAGAUGGCUGCGCCAACUGACUGCCAUCAUCACCAACCCUCAGAGUACGAGGCCCACCAGCAACCUUUUCAAAGGGCCUUGACAUGAACACAGCACCUUGAGGUGCAGUAAUGUACAACAGUUAAUCUGAAAUGGAACAAAGCCUCUUCUCAGGCUUGUCUUAAUAAUCUAUUUUUUGUUUGUUAAAAAGAAAUGCAAAUUAGGAUGGGAAGGGAGAUCAGGAGGAGGAGGAAAGAGAAGGUGAAGAGAUGGGAAGUUAAAACAAGUGUUGCUAAAGUGAUGCUCUUCAGAUGUUGCUGGACCAUGAAUCUGAACUUCUGGGACCCACUCAGCAGGCAUUAUAAUUUAUGUUUAAAUUUAUAGUUUUAACUUUUUGUUUUUUUGUUUUUUUAUUUGCAUUCCCUCUUUGUAAACUGCUUAGAGACUACUAUAGUGAAGUGGUUAUAUGAACUGUUCAUCAUCAUCAUCAUCAUCAUCUCCCAUCAUCCCUGACCAGCCUCCCUGAGACUGAUGAGAGUGGGUGUCCAACAACACCUAGAAAGCAACAAGUUAGCCACUUGGGAGGCUUGGGAGAAGAGAGAUGCUUUCAGAUGCUAAGUAAAUGCCUGGAGGGAGAAAGGCAGAUGUUAGGGGCAAAUGAAAUCCAGGGUGCAUCAGCAUGAUAAUCUAUCAUGGACCCAGUGCUGCUCAGGCAUGCAGGUUUUUCACAGCAUCUGCACAAUGUGGUCCACAUCCAAAUACCAUCCCACAUUCUCUUCCCAUUUACGUAAUCCAGAUCUUCCAAUUCAACAACAACAACAACUGUAAUGUUAAUUCACCCCCCUAUAAAUAUUACAUCUGGAUUAUAUGGAAUGGCAUUUUGAUAAGGCUUAUGUUGCAUGGAUGCCACAAUAAACCCUUGUUUGCAGAAAAUGCAGUGUGAAAGCAAUCCCAGAGAAAGGGAGAAAUGAAAGACAUAACUCAGGAAACAGAAGUAUCAAUCCAGAAGGCAAAUAGAACUAGGAAGACUAAUGAGUAUGUGUUAUAUCCAGUGCUUUUUUCUGGGGGAACGCAGGGGUACGCAUACCCCUAAACGUUUUGUGAAUCUAAGUUUGGCCUCAUUGAGGGGCAGUAUUUCAAUAUGAGUGGGAAAAUGAGAGUACCCCUAAACAUUUUUUUUAUAUAUAAAUAAAUUCUACGCAGAAUAGACCCAUUAAUAUUAAUGAGCCUAAAUUAGUCAUGUGCAUUAAUGCCAACAGGUCUACUCUGAGUAGGGUUAACAUUGGAUACAACCUGUUUGUGUAUUUACCUAAGUGUUGUGUCAAAAAAAUUCCCUCAGUGUGUAUGUGUGUUUGUUUUUUACCAUUCUCUAUCAAUGAAUGAAAAAAGAAAUUGCAUCCAAAAAUUACUAAAGGGUGGGGGAGAGAAUGGUGGAUUUAUCAGGGGUUGGAUGCAUGGUUUUAGUUGUACUUGUUUUACUAUGCAACUAAAGCAAGUUCCUUUUUCCCAAUUCCUGUGCUUCCCGAAACUCCAUAGGGCAUAUUUUGGUUGGGCCCUCCGAGAUUUGUAAGAAGACGUUCUACCAUACACUUGGCAGUUGUUCCUUUUUGGGGGAUGGGGGACAACCUUUGUGUGUGUGUGCAUGCGUGUGCAUGCGUGUUUGCUUUCAAAGAAAUCAGAGACUGUAGGGAAGGUUUUAGCAGAGCACUAAUUUAUUUAUUAUAACUAUAUUGCACUUUUCAGUCAAGAUUAAUGAGACUGGUUCCCAGUGAGGAAAGUAGUCUGUGAUAAAUGUUAAAAGAUAGAAUGAUAGGAUUAAGGGGACAGAGAUAAAGGGAGGGAAGAGAAGUGGACCUGAAAUAGGCUCAUGUUUACUCUCCCAGGCAUUUGAGCAACCAUACCUUCUUGGUUUGAUAGCUAUUUUAGAUUGUUGGUUGAGGGAGAAUAUUCUUGUUUUAGAAUGCCUUUUGUGGAUGGCCGCUUUUAGUGGGUAGUCUUUUUAAAUGUACCUGGUGAUGUUGUUAUGUGUUAUAUGCAUGUAUUUUACCGUACAUUUAUUGUAAGCUGUUUCAACAGUUCCUUGGUUGUGGGGUGUGAUCUUGGAUCCCCCUCAUCACUGCUGCCCCAGACAAAGUGAUCUAAAAGUGAAGGCCAGCUUAGGUUAAAUGAAGCACCAAAUAUCUUCAGUGCCCUGCCUCCAUUUUAUUCAACUUCUGAACACUUUAAAAGAAAUCCAUUUGUAGCUCAUUUCACACUAUUGACUUAAACAUUGUAAAUUAUAUGAAUGACUUAUUAUUGCUUAUCUUUGUGGUAUAAGGCAGUGGUGUUCAACCAGAAUGCCAUGGCACCCUGGGGUGCCUUGAAUUAUGGUCAGGGGUGCCGUGGGCAACAUUAGCCUCUGUACCUCUUUUCUUCCCUCCCUCCUGAUGCCCUCUCAUGUCUCUGCCUCCCCAAGGCUUGUACAGCUUUCUGUUGCAGCAGCCUGGGUAUAAGCUCGACAGGUGAAUGGUGCCUCUGGGGGCAUCUGUCUUUGGGGCGGCAGGGGGCGGGAAGCUCAGAGACAAAGGACGGCAGCAGCAGUUGCCCAGAAGACUCUCAAGGAGAGAGGAGAGGAAAGGAGGCUCGGGGAACACUCCACAAGGGAGAGUAUUCAAAAAAGAGUGAGAGGCUGCCAGCUCUGCAGGCAAGGGCUCUCUUCACAACUGGGCUCCUGAGCCCCACAGGGGUGCUGCAGAAAGAAUGUAGUUGGUUAAGGGAGCCAUGGAUUCAAAAAGGUUGAAAACCUUUGGUAUAAGGCAAUAAAUUUAUAGUAUAAUGCAAUAAACGUGCAUCACAAUCACUGACAUACACACUGUAAACUGAAUGGUUUCUGAUGUUACACAUUUUCCUCCAAGUAAAACAGCAACAAGCCCCUCAUAGUUAAUGGCCACACAAUUACCAUUCAAAAUGAAAUGUUUGUACUGUUUAUUUUAGUGGGGAGUGAAGCAAAUAGCCCAUGGUAUGUGUGGUUCCCUGGCUGUCAGAAUCCUGUCCAAAGGUACAUGAACAAGGCAUGAAGCCUAUAACUGAAUGGAAGCUUUGAAGAUAUCCCAACAGUUGAUACACCCUUCCUGCCAAGCUUUUAAAUACAAGGUGGGUGGAGCUCACUCACAAGAUUCUCACCCUACAGUUUUGCCAUGUGCACAUGUGCUGUCCAGAUGGGUGUGUCUGAUCCCAGCUAUGAAGAUGGUACCUGGAUCUCAUUCAUAGGACUGUGUCCCAUUCCUCUGCCUCCAGGUCCAUCACCACCACCUCCUAUUCAGCCCUCUCCCUCUGACUGGUUGAAGUCCUCAUCCCUACCUGAUGAGGCUCUGUGCUCUGCAAAAGGUUCUGUGGAGAGAGCUGACAGUUGAGCUUCCUUCUGUCCGAUACCUAGAGUCACAUGGGGAGAACCCCCCUCUUCAUACCUGCAUGCCAGCCACCAGCCCACCAUCUGCUGCUUCUCCUUCUUCCUCAUGCCAGAUUCCCGUAACACUAAGGGGCCCAUUACACUUGGUCACCUACACAUAGAUUCAGCCCUGGCUAAAGGUACCAACAAUCAUAUCAGGUCCCUAGCCUAGCAAUGGGAACCAUGCACACUGCCCAAAUGAUUCAGUGCAAGUUGGAUGCUCUGUUGUUCAAUUCAGCCAGAGGAUCUAUGCAGAGGAGCCUGCUUCCCUGAUGGGAUCAUGGAAAAUAUAUUCUAAUGCGCAUUAGCAUCACAACCCUUUGGUAGCUCCUCCUAUACGUCUCUCCCAAUUAGGGACCAGGGAGAAACUCACUUCAUUUUUUAAAUAAAAAAAAAAGAAAAUUAUAUUUUCAUUGAUAACAAAUGAAUAUUUCAAACACUAAAAAGUCAUUGUUGCAUGUUAAACCUUGACUAACCUCCCGCUCUUUCUGCAGUUCCU